UACAAAGGGGGCUAGCGUUGCUCGGAAUGACUGGGCGUAAAGGGCGCGUAGGCGGACGGCUUUGUCGGGCGUGAAAUUCCAGGGCUUAACCUUGGGGCUGCGUUCGAGACGGGUUGUCUAGAGUUUGGAAGAGGGUCGUGGAAUUCCCAGUGUAGAGGUGAAAUUCGUAGAUAUUGGGAAGAACACCGGUGGCGAAGGCGGCGACCUGGUCCUUGACUGACGCUGAGGCGCGAAAGCGUGGGGAGCAAACAGG
rnacentral:rRNA from 1 species